UACGUAGGGUGCGAGCGUUAAUCGGAAUUACUGGGCGUAAAGCGUGCGCAGGCGGCUUCGCAAGUCAGACGUGAAAUCCCCGGGCUUAACCUGGGAAUGGCGUUUGAAACUACGGAGCUGGAGUAUGGCAGAGGGGGGUGGAAUUCCACGUGUAGCGGUGGAAUGCGCAGAUAUCAGGAGGAACACCCGUGGCGAAAGCGGCUCUCUGGAACGGUACUGACGCUGAGACGCGAAAGCGUGGGGAGCGAACAGG
rnacentral:rRNA from 1 species